GCUGGGUAAACUCAGUUGGUAGAGCACGAGACUCUUAAUCUCAGGGUUGUGGGUUAGAGGCCCAUGUUAGGCA